CACUAUGCCUAGCCCUAAACAUUGAUGGCCUAAUACCUAAGCCAUCCGCCAGGGAACUACGAGCAUUAGCUUAAAACCCAAAGGACUUGGCGGUGCUUUAGAUCCACCUAGAGGAGCCUGUUCUAGAACCGAUAACCCCCGUUCAACCUCACCUUUCCUUGUUCAACCCGCCUAUAUACCACCGUCGUCAGCUCAUCCUGUGAAGGCCCCUUAAUAAGCAAAAUUGGCAAAGCCCAAAACGUCAGGUCGAGGUGUAGCGUACGGAAAGGGAAGAAAUGGGCUACAUUCCCUGCCUUAGGGAAUUACGAAUGAUAUACUGAAAGACAUAUCUGAAGGAGGAUUUAGUAGUAAGAGAAGAACAGAGAGCUUCUCUGAAACCGGCCCUGAAGCGCGCACACACCGCCCGUCACUCUCCCCAAGCUACCGCACCUAAAUAAAUAAUACAUUAAAUCCCGCUAAGGGGAGGCAAGUCGUAA
rnacentral:rRNA from 1 species